UACAGAGGUCCCAAGCGUUGUUCGGAUUCACUGGGCGUAAAGGGUGCGUAGGCGGCCGGGUAAGUCUGAUGUGAAAUCCCGCAGCUUAACUGCGGAACUGCAUCGGAUACUCUCCGGCUAGAGGAAUGGAGGGGAGACUGGAAUUCUCGGUAUAGCAGUGAAAUGCGUAGAUAUCGAGAGGAAGACCAGUGGCGAAGGCGGGUCUCUGGACAGUUCCUGACGCUGAGGCACGAAGGUCAGGGGAGCAAACGGG
rnacentral:rRNA from 1 species